GGAAAUGCAGGGGAUGUAAUUAUUCAAUAAACCUAAUUAUUAAAAAAGAUGGUCAUAAUCUCAAAUUCAGAUAAAUUUCUUGCGAGAAAGGCAACAUGAAUAUUGAAGAGAUGGAUAUUAUUUUAGAUAAAAAUUCAACCUACAAGUCAUACAGUAAGCAACAAACAUAUAAUUUAAAAAAAAAAGAUUGCUUGAAUUCCGGGAUUAAAUACAAUCAUAAAUUAUUGAGAAAAUGAUAUCUUUAAACGCACCAAAACUGGUACAAAUCUCCAAGGGAAUUAUUUAUUUGAAUUCAAUUUUUACUAACAGUUUUCAGUCUUAUCGAAAACCCCAUCUUUCAUAAUUUGAGCACAAAUUAUUAUACUGAAUUAGAUUUGCAAUAACCCCAUAGAAAUACACAAAAUAUUGCGAUGAUUUACAGAAGUGCAAAAAACCGAUGGUACGGAGAGAAUAGAGACCACCGGUGCGCAAAGGCGACCGAUCAUUAUUUUACUCACAUGGAAACGAACGACCGGUGCGAAAAUGGGUUGAUAACGAAAUUAAAAAUCGUUAACGACGUGCUGUUGCGUGUGUAGUAUUAAGCCCACGGGUGGGCUUGGUCUUAGAAAGCAAUUGUUUAUUUUGCAAAGUUACUAAUACGCUUAUUAUAUGAUUGUACUUUGCGUUCCUUGGGACAAAAACCUUAACGAAAGCAUUUUGAGCUGAGAAAAUCACAAUUUCCAAUCGACUGUUGGAAUUGCAUUUUGGACACCGAAUAUAUGUUUUGGACACCCUCAGUUAUUUAUAUUUUGGACAGGGCAAUUAUCUCAAUGUUUAGCCAUGAAUACUGCCAAAUCAUAGAAGAAUCAUAAAUUAACAAUUUUAUUCUUGCAAAUAAUUAAAUUUCUCCGCUUAACAGGCAUCUAUUUUGUUAACUAUUACAGUUUUUGUUAAAAUCGAGAAAAUAUCGCCAGACCCACAGAAUACGCCUCCAAGUAUGCAAUCGCACAGCAUCCCCAUGUAGUUCGUCAGAUGACCAAAAUAUAUUAUCAGUAGAAAACAUGCAAUGUAUUUUGGACACCACCUAUUUUAAGCGAUCUAGAUGAAUGUUAAGAGAUUGGCUGUCUAGGGGGAUUAGGGACAUAAUGGACACCCGGGGCGAAAUGGACACCCCUCUUUUUGCCGAAACCGUUGACUUUUAUGUAAAACUUUUAAUGCAUAAGUGUAAAGGAACAAGUCAUGGUUCUAUUUUUCAACAGUGCCAUAUAUAUUACUCCAAAAUAACCAAAUUAUCAUUGAAAUUGAAACAUGUUUUUCAUAUGGGGAAAUUCUUAUAAUUUCGAAGCAGCAUCAAAUAAGGUUUUACAGGUGUUGGAGUGUGCCCACCAUAAAAACAAAUGAAUUGUUACCUUAUCUACAUGUAUACGAAGAUUUAGCAAUGGAUGGAGUAUUUUAUUUUUGAUCAUAAUUUACUUAAAAUAAUAAUUUUAAUGUUGUAAUCGAUUCGGGGCAAAAUGAACACUGGCAAUUACGAAUGGAUGUAUGCGCAUUGCAUACUGUUAGGCGUUUUAGAAAGUUUGGAUAAAAUCAAUCCAAUUAUUUUGGCCUAAAGUUUAUUUAAUUAACUUUGAUGUUAUGUAAACUCGUAUAAUAUGGAGUAUUAUAUCUGUGGUAUUGAUAUCCGUAGGCAAAUUACUUAACUGGUCGAUGUAGCCAAAGAUGUAGCAUAAAAUAUGCAGGGGUGCCCAUUAUGCCCCAAUGGGUGUCCAUUUCGCCCCGUACCUUUCCUGCCAGCCCUAAAAAACACACGGUUUACAAUUCAUCAUUUCUUCACAAUAAAGACAUUCUACCUCGUGUAAAUGAUUGGAAGACGUAGGAAACAAGUUAAAGUUGUAAGUCAACUGAUAAUAUGUUAAGUUUUACUCUAUUAUACAGGCCUAACGUACUCAUUUGCUUAGGGUGUCCAGUAUGCCCCUAAUCCCCCUAAUGCUUCUUUAUUGAACAUUUUUCGUUGCAAUAAGGCUUUUAAAUUUCUUACAAUUAUAAUUUCAACGAUUUUGGGGUGAAUAUUGUAUGUAACUGUGAAGUGUAUGUCGUGUUGCAUACCUGUGCAUUUGAGGCAUUUUAGUGAAAAAUUUUACAUUUUCGAUAAUUUUGAAGUAAAUUCGUAAUUGUUAAGCGUAUUUUCAACGUAAGUCAUCAGAAUAGAGUAUGUUUGAUUCAAUAAUCAAUAUUGAGAAGUCUCUACUUUAAUUAGCUCUCCAGAACAAGACGUACAUCACCGUGCCUGUCCAAAUUGCAUACAUGUACAAAUUAUAUUUUUUACCAUAGUGUAGGGUUCUUAUGAAAUAAAAUAAACUUCCAGAAUAUUCUACAGGAUUGAUACAGCAGCGCAAUGCUUUACGAAUCUUUUACAACUAAUACAAUGAUGCAACCAUGCAACGGUGCACCAAUGCAACAAUGCAGCGCUGUGCCGAUGCAUCAAUGGAACGAUGUACCAAUUCAACGACGCAGCGAUUCAGUAAUGCACCAAUUCGAAUUAAAAAAAAGACACUACACCGUCUUCAACCAGAGGUUGCAACAUCGCCACGAUAUACCAAUGCAACGAUGCACCAAUGCAACGAUACAGCAAUGCAACGAUGCAACAAUUAAGCGAUGCACGAACGCAACAAUGCAUCAAUACGCUAAUACACCAAUGCAACGAAGAAAUAAUGCAACGAGUUGUAUAGCUGUCAUUUUGUGUGUAACAUUUCAGUGAAACAUUUCUAAGCGUGACGGAAGCACAGACAACUCUGGGAUUUUAUAUAUAUGAUUUAAUGACACGGUCAAGCCUAUUUUUAUAAUUGGCGAUUGAUGGAGGUCCUGACGAAAAUCCCCGGUACCCCAUGCUCAUGCUAUUGGCCAUUUUGGACCAUUUGGACGCGAUGUUCAUUUUUUCAAACGCCCCUCGGCCGCUCGGCGUAUAAUCGAGUUGAGAGACGGAUGACGCCAUUAAGCAGAGAAAUGUCGGGUGUAAUUUUGCCUCAUGACUGCUUCGGAAGUCACCUCGAUAAAAACAACAACCGAACAAUAGACGUAGAUCUGGAAAAGCAAAACUUAGAGUACGCUGAUCAGGUACUCAGCGAGAUUUGGGGCAAUGUAAAGAUUGACGGCUACCCCGUGAUUUCUGAAUUCAUGAAGAAGAUGCUACGCACGACCUGUUAUCUGCAUGUGAUAAUACGUCAUGGUACACAGUUUAUGUGCGUGAGAGUCAAUACUUUUGCAGAUGAGUAAAUUGCAUCUUGCAUUAAUCUGAAUAAAUUCUACAAAAAAAACAAAUUUCAGAUCAUGAAGUAUGAUGACAAUACAUUUUGCAAGCCGAUUCAAAGCGACUUCAGGAGUAUCCUUCCAAUUCAGCAAGAAAAUGGUAUGCUACAUGUCGUUGAAGCGAACAGUUUGAAACCUGAUUCAGACUUCACACCGUUCCUAGUAAGGCAGUUGGUCAAAAAGGCUCCAGUUGGUAUUGGAUUCUCAUAUGCUUUGCCAUAUGAUGAUUGUUGUCCAUCGGUGUCCGAACAACUUGUUGGUCGUAUAUGCUACGAUUGUGAUCUUUACUUUGCCACAAAAGUAAACGCAGAUCGACACUGAAGGAGCUUCUACAAGGCAGAUGUUGCACCAAAAAAGGUGAAACCCCUCAAAACUCUGCAGCAGCGCCCUGAAGAAUUUAAGUAAAUGGAGAAACAUAACUUCUUUGGGUGGAUUGAAGUUUCUUAGAAACAGAAGGACUAGAGGUACAAGAGCCUUUCGAAUCAGAAUUACCUGAGGUGAACUUCGACAACUGGUUCUUACAACCGUGGAUGGAGGAGUAGUCUAGUUGCCAAGAGUGUUUUUAUUUUAAAGUUGAAUGAAAUUGAUAUUGAGUUGAAUUAAAUAUUUACGAAUUUUUAAGUACCUAUUUUAAGGUACCAUCAUCAAACUUUUGUUUUACAAAAAGUGUAAUCUGACAAGUUACCCUGAAAAAAUGUCUACGUAGACAGUGUGGGGAGGGGGUCAACGAAAGUGCCAAUUUCCGUUCUACGUAGUUUACGGACGAAACCUUGGCAGUUGAAAUGUUGACGAUCCACCAAUCACCAUCAAGCACUCGAUAUCCUCACAUGGGACGGGCUCCGUGAUCCGCAACUAGAAGCAUUCGGAAUACAUGUAAAUAAUAAAAACAUCGCGGAAUAUUUUUGCCGAGUCCGAACCGAAAUCGAUAGCAUGAAGUGAAGUGCGUAAUCAAAUGAUGUCACAAAAUUCGACACCACUACAAAAAAAAGACAAAAGCGUCUUUGGAGUGAAUGUUCGACUUUUCAAGGAAACGACACUUGUAAAGCACACUCUUGGCAAAUCUGACGGAAACCAACGAUCCCUUCGCAUCUGGUGGCAGGAAUGAGAACCCUACGAAAAACGUGACUCCGCCAAAAGUGCCAUGGCGCAGCAUAGGCAAAGUGCACUUUUUUCACUUUUUCGUAUCGACUUCCGCAUCGUUGAGAAACAAACGAGCACUUUUUGGUAAGCAAAUUUAAUUUUCUUUCAGAUGCUCUUAGAUCCGGUAGGUACUUACGAACAAUUUAUGUGAUUAAUUUGAGGAGCUCUUGCAAUGCCUCCGGCUGACGAUUUUCCGGAUUUUUUGUUAGCCCAAUCCGGUAGGUAUCUGUCGGCGUGGGCAUCAAGAAUGAUGAUAAUGGAAGCCAUUGCAAACGGAAAAUUGCAACUUCUAGAGCGAAAAAUGAGUAAAAUUUGACGACAAAAAAUUACUUUUUUAUGUAAACAAACGAUUUUCCCCUUAUCUCACCAAGCGCCUCUACAAUUGGAGGUAAUCCAAAUUAACCUAUACUGAUUGGAUGCCUAUUAUGAUCGAAUGUUUUCAACACCGACGUUCCUCGCAAUUCACAUGUCUACUCCCUAAUUUAUUUGCUGAUGUAGUUUCAUAAGCAUAAUCAUCAAAGAUUAUAUUUAUUACCGUAAACCGGGGUCAAUUUGAUCAGCGGGGUGAAAUUGAUCAUUCGGGUACUACAUUGUAAUUCCAUGCUAGGAACUCUUAAGCGUCGUAAUGAUCUUAAACUUUUUACGUCAUCUGGUUCGUAAAUGUCUAGAGAUAAGUGUAGACUUUAAUUUUUUAGGAAAAAAGUUAGUUCUGCUUAUUUUUUUUAGGAAUUAGCAAUGUAUUUCUCAUUUAGGUGAAAUCAUUGUUAAUAUUGUGGAUUAAACGCCUGAAGAUAGGCAAUUUUAUUUGAAAUAAGAGAUUUCUUUCACAAUAAAUGACUAUUUUUUCAAAAAAGGACCUUUUUUUAGCUAUUUCAUGGUCUGAUUAGCUACAUAUGUAACUUCCCAACCAAGGCUCCACAAAAAUGUUAAAACAGAAAAUUUACGGGAAGUUUUAUAAGCAAAUAUUGUGGAUUUAGCACCAAAUUGGUGUCGGAAGUAACUUCAUUGACUUCCGCUGCCUUUCCUAUGCGUUAAACAUAACGUCGG